rnacentral:rRNA from 1 species
AGAGUUUGAUCCUGGCUCAGGAUGAACGCUGGCGGCGUGCCUAACACAUGCAAGUCGAACGUGAGAGCAUAGCAAUAUGCUUGAAAGUGGCGAACGGGUGAGUAACACGUAGAUAACCUGCCGUGUAGAGGGGGAUAACGACUGGAAACGGUCGCUAAUACCGCAUGGUACCAGAGAAUAUGGUCGUUUUCUGGUUAAAACUUUGGUGCUACACGAGGGGUCUGCGUCCGAUUAGUUAGUUGGUGAGGUAACGGCUCACCAAGACGAUGAUCGGUAGCUAGUCUGAGAGGAUGAUUAGCCACACGGGAACUGAGACACGGUCCCGACUCCUACGGGGGGCAGCAGUGAGGAAUAUUCCACAAUGGACGAAGGUCUGAUGGAGCAACGCCGCGUGGAGGAUGAAGGUCUUUGGAUCGUAAACUCCUUUUCUCAGGGAAGAGAAUGGACGGUACCUGAGGAAUAAGUCACGGCUAACUACGUGCCAGCAGCCGCGGUAAUACGUAGGUGGCGAGCGUUAUUCGGAAUUACUGGGCGUAAAGCGCACGCAGGCGGUUUGUCAAGUUCGACGUGAAAGCUCUCGGCUUAACUGGGAGAGGUCGUUGAAAACUGGCAGGCUUGAGGCAAUGAGAGGGAUGCAGAAUUCCAGGUGUAGUGGUGGAAUGCGUAGAUAUCUGGAGGAAUACCAGUGGCGAAAGCGGCAUCCUAGCGUUGUACUGACGCUCAUGUGCGAAAGCGUGGGGAGCGAACGGGAUUAGAUACCCCGGUAGUCCACGCUGUAAACGAUGAACACU